rfam:Gossypium hirsutum cultivar TM-1 chromosome 22, whole genome shotgun sequence
GUCCCCUCAGGAACAUCUGAUAAAAUUGGAACAAUGGAGGAAAAUUAGCAUGGUCCCUGCAUAAUGAUUACACACAAAAUCAAGAAAUAGUCCAAAUUUUU